rnacentral:rRNA from 1 species
UAGAGUUUGAUCCUGGCUCAGGACGAACGCUGGCGGCGUGCCUAACACAUGCAUGUCGAGCGGAGAUAAUGGAGUAGUUUACUACAAAAUUAUCUUAGCGGCGGACGGGUGAGUAACGCGUGGGUAACCUGCCCUAUACAGGGGGAUAACAGCGAGAAAUCGUUGCUAAUACCGCAUAAAUCAUCUUCGGCGCAUGCCGAAGAUGGCAAAGGAGUAAUCUGGUAUAGGAUGGGCCCGCGUCUGAUUAGCUAGUUGGUGAGGUAAAAGCUCACCAAGGCGACGAUCAGUAGCCGACCUGAGAGGGUGAUCGGCCACACUGGAACUGAGACACGGUCCAGACUCCUACGGGAGGCAGCAGUGGGGAAUAUUGCGCAAUGGGGGAAACCCUGACGCAGCAACGCCGCGUGGAGGAAGAAGGUUUUCGGAUUGUAAACUCCUGUCUUUUGGGACGAAUAAUGACGGUACCAAAGGAGGAAGCCACGGCUAACUACGUGCCAGCAGCCGCGGUAAUA